AUUAAGUACAUACAGGACACACUGAACACAAUGGUUUGCACGGAGAGCGCUAUGGUAAUACUGGAAGCAGGUGCCCGGAACUCGACCAUAAACUCCGCAAAGAAAAGUCCAAACGAUGAGGUACAUCCGAUGACCAGAAAUACAACCAUGAAGUUACCUGUUAGUGAAAAAAGUUUUGUGUAAUGCAGUAGUAGCCUUGUCGUGUGACUGAUUAUGACAUUGGUUGUGUGACAUCCCUUAUAUCUACAUACAUUGUUGUUUAUGUAAGAGGAUUACGGUACGAUGUAAAAGUGAUUCAAAGAUGUGGUUUAUGUAAAUUACUGAAAUAUUAACGGUAAUGAAUGCACUUUUAAAGAUUUUCUGUGGCUGCAAAAUGUUACCAUGAAGAGUCGGCAUUAGAAAUUAGUUUGGAAAAAAAACCUAUUUUUUGAAUUAUAGGAAUGUAACUUUGAUUGAAUAUUAAGCGGAAGGAGUCUUUUCUGGUUUUCGACUUGUCAAACGUAAAUUUAAUUGUUCAUUAAAUCAAGAUGAAAGGAAAUUAAAAUAAUAUAUCUUUC
rnacentral:sRNA from 1 species